CAGCCGCCGCGGGAAUACGAAGGGUGCAAGCGUUAAUCGGAAUUACUGGGCGUAAAGCGUGCGUAGGUGGUGGUUUAAGUCCGUUGUGAAAGCCCUGGGCUCAACCUGGGAAUUGCAGUGGAUACUGGAUCACUAGAGUGUGGUAGAGGAUAGUGGAAUUUCCGGUGUAGCAGUGAAAUGCGUAGAGAUCGGAAGGAACAUCUGUGGCGAAGGCGACUAUCUGGGCCAACACUGACACUGAGGCACGAAAGCGUGGGGAGCAAACAGGAUUAGAUACCCCUGUAGUCCCUGUCUCUUAUAC
rnacentral:rRNA from 1 species